rnacentral:rRNA from 1 species
UCCGGUUGAUCCUGCCGGAGGUCAUUGCUAUUGGAGUCCGAUUUAGCCAUGCUAGUUGCACGAGUUUGAACUCGUAGCAGAUAGCUCAGUAACACGUGGCCAAACUGCCCUAUAGACGGCGAUAACCUCGGGAAACUGAGGCUAAUAGCCGAUACCGUUCAGCACCUGGAGUGGUGUGAACGCGAAACGUUCAGGCGCUAUAGGAUGUGGCUGCGGCCGAUUAGGUAGACGGUGGGGUAACGGCCCACCGUGCCUAUAAUCGGUACGGGUUGUGAGAGCAAGAGCCCGGAGACGGUAUCUGAGACAAGAUACCGGGCCCUACGGGGCGCAGCAGGCGCGAAACCUUUACACUGCACGAUAGUGCGAUAAGGGGACUCCGAGUGCGAGGGCAUAUAGUCCUCGCUUUUCACCACCGUAAGGUGGUGGUGGAAUAAGUGCUGGGCAAGACCGGUGCCAGCCGCCGCGGUAAUACCGGCAGCACGAGUGAUGACCGCUAUUAUUGGGCCUAAAGCGUCCGUAGCUGGGCCAGGCAAGUCUAUCGGGAAAUCUGCGCGCUUAACGCGCAGGCGUCCGGUGGAAACUGCGUGGCUUGGGACCGGAAGACCAGAGGGGUACGUCCGGGGUAGGAGUGAAAUCCCGUAAUCCUGGACGGACCACCGGUGGCGAAAGCGCCUCUGGAAGACGGAUCCGACGGUGAGGGACGAAAGCUCGGGUCACGAACCGGAUUAGAUACCCGGGUAGUCCGAGCUGUAAACGAUGUCUGCUAGGUGUGGCACAGGCUACGAGCCUGUGCUGUGCCGUAGGGAAGCCGAGAAGCAGACCGCCUGGGAAGUACGUCCGCAGGGAUGAAACUUAAAGGAAUUGGCGGGGGAGCAC